GGCAACAGAACUGGCCCCAGGAAGGCGAAGGGCGGAGCAACAGGAUCUGUGCCGAGCGUGAAUAAAGGGAGUGGCGGUCAGGGCCCCGCAGACCCAGAGACUCCCGCCUCCCAGAGGCUGCCUUGGGCGAAGCGCUGAGUCACGGUGAGGAGCCUGUGGCCUCAGAGCCAGCCCGCGGUGCGCUCGGUGCGGUUCCCUUGUCCCCCACCCCACGGAGGCUCCAGGGGCCGCCGCGCCUCGCUCCUUGGCCGCCGCGAUCGCUGUGUGAGUGCCUGGGGCUCCCCCAGAGGUGGGCUGGGUGGAGCAUGUUGCAGAUCGGUCGGCAAGAUACCACCUUCCCAACCCUCUUCAGACUCCUGAAAUGACUAAAGAUGCUGCAAUCAAUAGUACUGAGAUUUUUGUCACAGUGCUAGUUGGCUUUUCUUUCCUCAAAGCACUGAAGCCUGUUAAAUACCUCAUCAGUUGUUCACAGGCAUAGAAUUUAAUUGUGGGAGUCUGGAAGGACCCAGAAUAGUCUAGCUGGGGGUAAACAAAGUUUCUAGUUGCUCUCUGGUAGGUAGAUGUUGACAGGGCUGUACAGCUCUGAGUAUUAAACUCCUUUCUCUGCCUUGCAUUCUGUCGCCCAAUAAAUAUUUACUAAUUAUCCACUGGGGGAGGAUACAUUUGAGUAACUGGAGGGUAUUGCUGGGUAGAGCCCCCCUGAGUAACAGCAGCUAACAUUCUCAUGGUACUAACCACACCCCUUUGAUAUGGGCACUUAUUACUCCCACAUUAUGGAUGCAGAAAACUGAAGCAUAGAGUCCCAGGUCAAAAGUGAAGUUAGGAUGCAAACCUGGGCUGUCUGGCUCCAGAAUCUGCUUCUCGCUCAAGCAUUUUUUUUGAAUUUCAGUAGGAAACUUUGAAGGAAUUAGUUCUAUUUCACUUGAAGAAGAGAUUUAGAGAACCAUAGGUACUAUUUGCAAAUACUUGAAGCGGAAGUGAAGUUAAUUAUAUCUGUUCUGUGAUAGUCCAUUGGUUAGAACUUAGACCCCUCAAAGAGGAAACACUCUUCAAUAAUAAAUGCAGAGUAUAGGUCCUGAGUAUGGAGUGCACCCUCAAGGGCAGUUCACCCAUGAGUUGCCUGAGCUUUAGAAAGCUCAAAGAUUUCUUUCCUAGAAAGUUGGCCCUGCACUUUAGGGAUAGAUGUAUUUUUGAAUUCAAUGACCCUUGAAGAUCCCUUUCAUUGCUAAGAUUUUCAGAAUGUUCUGGUGAGAGUCAUGGACCUCUUGGUUUUGUGUUUCCUAUCUUGCCACACAAAUCCUCCUCUAUCUGACUCCCUACUUCAUGAAAUAAUGAGCAGGGUACUGGGCACCUAGAAAGUACUAUCAUUAUAGUUAUUUUAACUCACCUAAUCCACACCCUGUAUAUAGUAAACAUUCAAUAAAUUGUAGCUGUUGCUGGGCGCAGUGGCACACGCCUCUAAUCCCAGCAACUCAGUGAGGCCCUAAGCAACUUAGUGAGACCCUGUCUCAAAAUAAAAAAUAAAAAGGGCUGGGGAUAUGGCUCAUUGGUAAGGCACCCCUGGGUUCAAUCCCUGGCAAUCAAUCAAUGAAUCAAUUUAUAGCUGUUACCCUUUGGGCAAGUCCUAAUUUUAAUAUCCUUUAUGUUGUAGUCCUUGGAUAUUUUCUUCUGUAUAACUUCUUUUUUGUUUUCCCUCCUCUUGCCUUUUAUCCUCUGUGGCAGAGCAUCAGAACACUCUCCUUUUGGAUUUCUACAUGGGGUCUUCCAAGAAGGUUACCAUCUCAGUGCUCAGCCGGGAGCAGUCAGAAGGGGUUGGAGCACGGGUACGCAGAAGCAUCGGCAGACCCGAGGUAUGUU
rnacentral:lncRNA from 1 species